CCCUAAUUCUGAUUUAUUCCAUUUCUUACCCUCUUGGAAAUUAAGGUAGGUCCAUGGAAUUAGAUUGUAUUGCUGAGAUCCUCAAGAAAAUUGGAUCUAUCAGUUCAAUCAUUUGACCACAAGAGGGCACUGCUGACAUCUACUGUCCAAAUUUAUUCAGUGAGUAAUUUUGAACAUCAAUUCUGCCUUCUAUCCUGGGUCUUGUUUUUCUUACAAACGUAAAGACUCUCUAAGGGGGAAGAGUGAUUGGAGCUCUUGUAUGAAAGCAGAACCUCCAGAAGUUUAGAGAAUAAGCUCCAAGACUUCAAAUGGGACCAUGCAACUGCAGUUAGAGGCAGGGAACAGCCAUCUGCUGUGUGUAUCCCAGAGAUAGCUUGGGAAAGAAGUGUUAAGACCAAAGACUGAAGUCUACACACUGGACCACCCAACCUACCAUGAGCUCUUCUGUCAUCUCAGGGAUUGGGAUCUUGCUACUAUUAGGUUUCGCUGGGAGUAAUUCUCUGUUUCAGUUUCCAUCUGAGGUGAGAAUCCCUGAGGGACACAGCAUCAUUUUGGAUUGCAAUUUUAGUACUUCUGACAUAGUUCCUUCUCUGCUCUGGUACAGUCAGUCUCCAGACCAGUCCUUUCACCAAAUUUUAUCUGCAACUGAAUCUCAGAAGGAAACAUUUUGUGCAGGGAGGUUCUCCACAGUCUUGAGUCUGAGCAGUCACACUGUUCCUCUGAGAGUAGACACUAUCUGUCUCCAAGACAGCAAGGUGUAUUACUGCACUCUGCAGUCUCACAGUGAGCCAGCAUCCAUCCCCUCUGUACAGAAAAGAGUUGUGGGGCAACGUGGGAGAGAAUGGCCAUUACCCAAGACUGAUAGCCUUUGCUUUGGUGCUUUGAUUGUCCAAGAAAAUGUUGAAGAUAGAAUUUGCAGCAUUCCAUGACUAAAGACUCUAGUCACAGGCUAGUGAUGCAAUCAAGCCUCAGCAGUUGGGAAGCCAGUCAGGGACGCUCCAUCCAAAAUUAUUGAGGGCAUACCUGAGCUGGAAGAGUUCAGUGCAACAGAAGCUUUGACCCAUAUUUAUUUUAUUUUAUUUUGUGUUAAAAAUAUUUUAUUUUCCCCCAAUUAGAUAUAAAAACAACUUUAAUUUUUAAUUUAGUUUUUAAAAUUUUAUUUUUUUCAGAUUUUGAGUUCCAAAUUCUCUCCUUCUCUACUUACCCUCCCCACUCAUUUAUAGGGCAAGCAAUUUGACAUAGGUUAUACAUGUAUAGUCAUACAUAACACAUUUCUGGGUAAGUCAUGCUGUGAAAGAAAACACAGACAAACCUCCCCCAAAAAGUAAAUAAAGAAUGACAAAACAUGCUUCA
rnacentral:lncRNA from 1 species